CUUAUGCAAAAUCCAAUCUUGACAUAACUUUAUGUGCACAAUACCACUACUACACAUUACAAAUCCUCUUAUGCCUCUCUUGUAUUUCUUCUGAGUUUUUACCCUACACAAUACAUGCUACACACUUCACUUCUUUUCUCUUCUGUUUUAUAUAAGACUCAUAGUGUACUUAGAUUAGAACACAUAUUUUAAGAUUCGUUUUGUUUUCCUUAAUCAUUCUUUCUUUUGUUUUUUCUUUUUUGCAGUCCUUUUCCCCUCUCCAAUCUUUCAUUAGAUUUGACAGUUAACCAAAACAAAGGUAAAAAACAUAUAACCAAGAAAUUUGCAUAAACACUUCGACCCACUUCACCUGUUACUUCCAUUCUAGGGCUUUUUUUUUUUAACUCAAUAAAUCAAGAUAUUUUUCCCCUUUUACUCCUUUUUGGGGAUUUUUUUCCUUCUUAUUCCUAAUUUUAUCAACUAGGGUUACCUCUUCACUAUUUUUUUUUUCUUGGGGGGUAAAUUUUUUGUUGUAUUUGAUUUUGGGGUUUUUCUUCUUAUUUACUAGUUGGUAUGUUAAUUUUUAAGUUGUGGGGUUCUUGUUGGGGUUUGAAGGGUUUAGAGUGAAAAAGGUUGAGUCUUUAUUCUGUAUCAGUUAAACUAAGAUAAAAAAUUGUGGUUAAGAUGAUUGCUGAGAAACCCAGUUGGAUUAGACAUGAGGGUAUGCAGAUUUUCUCUAUUGAUAUUCAGCCUGGUGGCCUUAGGUUUGCCACUGGUGGUGGUGAUCACAAGGUUAGGAUAUGGAACAUGAAAUGUGUGGGUAGGGACUUGGAAGCAGAUGAAUCUACACCGAAACUUCUUGCCACACUACGCGAUCAUUUUGGGUCGGUGAACUGUGUUAGAUGGGCAAAACAUGGUCGAUAUGUUGCUUCUGGCUCUGAUGAUCAGGUAAUUCUAGUCCAUGAGAGGAAACCUGGCUCAGGAACCACAGAGUUUGGCAGUGGAGAGCCCCCUGAUGUAGAGAAUUGGAAAGUUACUAUGACUUUGAGAGGACACACUGCAGAUGUGGUGGAUCUAAAUUGGUCCCCAGAUGACUCGACAUUGGCUAGUGGUAGUCUCGACAACACCAUCCAUAUCUGGAGUAUGAGCAAUGGUAUAUGCACUGCAGUUCUGAGGGGUCACUCCAGUCUUGUUAAAGGUGUCACAUGGGAUCCGAUUGGUUCUUUUAUAGCUAGUCAAUCAGAUGAUAAGACUGUCAUCAUUUGGCGAACAAGUGACUGGAGCCUUGCUCAUAGAACUGAAGGUCACUGGGCAAAAUCUCUUGGGUCAACCUUCUUUAGGCGGCUUGGAUGGUCACCCUGUGGACACUAUAUAACUACUACUCAUGGUUUUCAAAAGCCUAGGCAUUCUGCUCCUGUUCUGGAGAGAGGGGAAUGGUCUGCCACUUUUGAUUUCUUAGGACACAAUGCUCCUGUUAUUGUGGUUAAGUUUAAUCAUUCUAUGUUUCGGAGGAAUUUGGCUAAUGCGCAGGAAGUGAAAAAUGCGUCUCUUGGAUGGUCAAAUGGUUCUUCAAAAAAUGGAGGAAAAGAGUCCCAACCCUACAAUGUUAUUGCUAUAGGAAGUCAAGAUCGCACUAUAACUGUGUGGACAACAGCAAGUCCACGUCCUCUUUUUGUCGCUAAACAUUUCUUUUCUCAAAGUGUUGUGGAUUUAUCAUGGAGCCCUGAUGGAUAUUCACUCUUUGCAUGUUCUUUGGAUGGAAGUGUAGCCACUUUCCAUUUUGAUGGGAAUGAACUAGGCGUUCGGUUAUCUGAUGCUGAAUUAGAGGAGCUGAAGAGAAGCCGCUAUGGUGAUGUUAGAGGUCGACAGGCAAAUUUAGCCGAAAGUCCAGCGCAACUAUUGCUUGAAGCAGCAGCUGCAAAGCAAAGUUCAAGCAAAAAAAUAACUAAGGAUCUUACACAAGUUCAAGCAACCUCAAAAUCUUCUGUUGAUUUGGUGAGUGUGGUGAAGGUUCCCAAGCCACAAUCUGAUAACGGGAAAAAGACCGAAGGAGUUAGCAGCGAUAGUUUAAAUAAACCCGCAGCUUCUACCCGCAUGUCAAGUCCCGUGAAGCAAAGAGAGUACAGACGGCCCGAUGGUCGAAAGAGGAUAAUUCCAGAAGCAGUUGGUGUGCCUACCCAGCAGGAGAACAUCUCCGGAAUUCCUCAAUCUCCUACUAUUGAAUUCCCUAAUAAGACAGUGGAUCAGAGGAAAGAUGAGAAUGGUAUGGUACUGUCCGAUGCAAGUGUUAGGGAAGGAUUUGUAAGGAAAACAGUUGGUCUCAGUCCUGACCAAAAGGAGCGCUCAGGUGUAACUGCUAGAGCUACCAUCAGUGAGAGCCUCAUCAUUGAGAAGGUUCCGCCUUCUGUAGGCAAGGAUGGAAACAUCACCAUAGAACAGAUGGGAAUCAUCAAGGAUCUGUCUCAUUUGGGUUCUGGUGGUACUCUUUUAAUCAGGGUUUUUGAUAAUAAAGAAGGGGAGGACACUGGUCCAAUUUGCUUAGAGGCUCAACCCAGAGAACAAGCUGCUAAUGAUAUUUUAGGGGCAGGAAAUUCAUUUGUAAUGAAAGAAACUGAGAUACUUUGUACAAGGGGGAGUCAAACCCUCUGGUCUGACCGGAUUUCUGGAAAAGUUACUGUUUUGGCUGGAAAUGCCAACUUUUGGGCUGUGGGAUGUGAAGAUGGAUGCGUUCAGAUUUAUACGAAGUGUGGACGACGUGCCAUGCCGACCAUGAUGAUGGGAUCUGCUGCAGUAUUUGUUGAUUGUGAUGAAUCUUGGAAGUUUUUGCUUGUCACAAGGAAAGGGUCAUUAUAUCUAUGGGAUCUAUUUAAUCGGAAGUGUCUCCUUCAAGACUCAUUGGCUUCCCUUUUGGCUUCAGAUCCAAAGGCGAAUGCAGGCACAAUCAAAGUGAUAUCAGCAAAAUUAUCAAAGUCUGGUUCUCCUCUUGUUGUCCUGGCCACACGGCAUGCAUACCUCUUUGAUAUGAGCCUCAUGUGCUGGCUGAGGGUUGCAGAUGAUUGUUUUCCUGCAUCGAAUUUUUCAAGCUCCUGGAGUUCGGGCUCGUUGCAUGGUGGUGAGCUAGCGGCAUUGCAGGUGGAUGUUAGGAAGUUCCUGGCUAGGAGACCCGGUUGGAGCAGAGUCACAGAUGAUGGGGUACAAACACGUGCUCAUUUGGAGGCUCAGUUGGCUUCUGCUCUUGCUUUGAAGUCUCCUAGUGAAUAUCGUCAAUGCCUUUUAUCCUACAUCCGGUUUUUAGCAAGAGAGGCUGAUGAGUCACGCUUGAGAGAAGUUUGUGAGAGCUUUCUUGGGCCUCCCACAGGGAUGGCCGAGGCUGCAUCCUCUGAUUCAAAUAAAACUGCUUGGGACCCUUGUGUACUUGGUUUGAAAAAGCAUAGGCUCCUUAGAGAAGACAUACUUCCAGCAAUGGCAUCAAAUAGGAAAGUACAGCGGCUGCUCAACGAGUUCAUGGAUCUCAUCUCAGAAUAUGACGACACGAGUGUUGAACAAAACAAUGUCGCGACCAUCACAUCAACUGAAAUGAAUUUUGAACAGUCCAAUGUUGCAACUACUACAUCUGUUCUGGCUACAGAUAAGAUGGAUACUGAUGUCCCUACGACUCAAAGAACAGUUCCACAGACACCAAUAACUAACCCAACACCUUCCACGUCUUUAAAUGACCGAGAGAAUCCUACUCGUCUUGCUGUACAAUCAAGUGAUCAUGUUGAGCCUUGUAUGCUUUUGAAAGAAACAAUGGACUCGGAUCAACAAGAAACUGAUGAAGCUAAAUCUGUACCACCUCCAACAGAUCAGAUGAGCUUGGAUCCACCUGCAUCAGUUGAAUCGGAACCGUCUCCUUCACCAAAGGAGAAGGUUUCUUGAUGUAUAUUUCAUUGUAGAUUAGAUGUAAUAGUCAACUUGAAGAACUGCUGACAUGCUGUGGACUGUAAAGCUGUAAAGAUUGUCUUAGUGGAUGCACCUAGCAGGCACCUUGCCUUUGAUGCAAAUACUGAGGGCAGCCCGGUGCACUGAGCUUCCGCUAUUGGCGAGGUCCGGGGAAGUGCUGGACCACAAAGGUCUAUUGUACGCAGCUUUAUCCUGCAUUUUUACAAAGAGGUUGUUUUCACGGAUCGAACCCGUGACCUCCUGAUCACAUGGCAACAACUUUAUCAGUUACGCCAAGGCGGACAAUUCCACAAAAAAAUUCCAUCAACCAAAUUGAAUUUUUAUCUAAACCUUUUGUUUUAUUUUAUAGGGUCUAAUAUGAUUUGUAUUUUCUCGCACCCAAGAAAAAAAAA